UACGUAGGGUGCGAGCGUUAAUCGGAAUUACUGGGCGUAAAGCGUGCGCAGGCGGUUAUAUAAGACAGAUGUGAAACUCCCGGGCUCAACCUGGGAACUGCAUUUGUAGACUGUAUAGCUAGAGUACGGCAGAGGGGAUGAAUUCCGCGUGUAGCAGUGAAAUGCGUAGAUAUGCGGAGGAACACCGAUGGCGAAGGCAAUCCCCUGGGCUGUACUGACGCUCAUGCGACGAAAGCGUGGGGAGCAAACACGGGAUUACGAUACCCUGGUAGU
rnacentral:rRNA from 1 species